rnacentral:rRNA from 1 species
UAAGGAAUAUUGGUCAAUGGGCGGAAGCCUGAACCAGCCAUGCCGCGUGCAGGAUGACUGCCCUAUGGGUUGUAAACUGCUUUUGUCCAGGAAUAAACCUAAAUACGAGUAUUUAGCUGAAUGUACUGGAAGAAUAAGGAUCGGCUAACUCCGUGCCAGCAGCCGCGGUAAUACGGAGGAUCCGAGCGUUAUCCGGAUUUAUUGGGUUUAAAGGGUGCGUAGGCGGCCUAUUAAGUCAGGGGUGAAAUACGGUGGCUCAACCAUCGCAGUGCCUUUGAUACUGAUGGGCUUGAAUCCAUUUGAAGUGGGCGGAAUAAGACAAGUAGCGGUGGAAUGCAUAGAUAUGUCUUAGAACUCCGAUUGCGAAGGCAGCUCACUAAGCUGGUAUUGACGCUGAUGCACGAAAGCGUGGGGAUCGAAC